GAUGAACGCUAGCGGCAGGCCUAACACAUGCAAGUCGAGGGGCAGCACAUAAAGUGGUUUACUACUUUUGGUGGCGACCGGCGGACGGGUGCGUAACGCGUAUGCAACCUGCCUCCAACAGGGGGAUAACGGAGAGAAAUUUCCACUAAUACCCCAUAAUAUCAGAAUCGGCAUCGGUUUUGGUUGAAAACUCCGGUGGUUGGAGAUGGGCAUGCGUUGUAUUAGAUAGUUGGUGAGGUAACGGCUCACCAAGUCAACGAUACAUAGGGGGACUGAGAGGUUAGCCCCCCACACUGGUACUGAGACACGGUCCAGACUCCUACGGGAGGCAGCAGUGAGGAAUAUUGGUCAACGGGGGCAACCCUGAACCAGCCAUGCCGCGUGCAGGAAGACGGCUCUAUGAGUUGUAAACUGCUUUUACAAGGGGAUAAAUCGGUGAACGUGUACACCGUUGAAGGUACCUUGGGAAUAAGGAUCGGCUAACUCCGUGCCAGCCGCCGCAGUAA
rnacentral:rRNA from 1 species